CCUACGGGUGGCUGCAGUGGGGAAUAUUGCACAAUGGGGGAAACCCUGAUGCAGCGACGCCGCGUGAGUGAAGAAGUAUCUCGGUACGUAAAGCUCUAUCAGCAGGGAAGAAAAUGACGGUACCUGACUAAGAAGCCCCGGCUAACUACGUGCCAGCAGCCGCGGUAAUAAGUAGGGGGCAAGCGUUAUCCGGAUUUACUGGGUGUAAAGGGAGCGUAGACGGCAGCACAAGUCUGGAGUGAAAUCCCGGGGCUUAACUCCGGAACUGCUUUGGAAACUGUGCGGCUGGAGUGCAGGUGGGGUAAGCGGAAUGCCUAGUGUAGCGGUGAAAUGCGUAGAUAUUAGGAGGAACACCGGUGGCGAAGGCGGCUUACUGGACUGUAACUGACGUUGAGGCUCGAAAGCGUGGGGAGCAAACAGGAUUAGAUACCCGUGUAGUC
rnacentral:rRNA from 1 species